AUUGAACGCUGGCGGCAGGCCUAACACAUGCAAGUCGAACGAGAGGCGGACGGGUGAGUAAUGUCUGGGAAACUGCCCGAUGGAGGGGGAUCACUACUGGAAACGGUAGCUAAUACCGCAUACCAUCGGAUGUGCCCAGAUGGGAUUAGCUAGUAGGUGGGGUAACGGCUCACCUAGGCGACGAUCCCUAGCUGGUCUGAGAGGAUGACAAGCCACUCUGGCAUGGAGACACGGUCCAGACUCCGACGGGAGGCAGCAGUGGGGAAUAUUGCACAAUGGGCUGAAUCCUGAUGCAGCCAUGCCGCGUGUGUUAAGAAGGCCUUCGGGUUGUAAAGUACUUUCAGCGAGGAGGCGUUACUCGCAGAAGAAGCACCGGCUAACUCCGUGCCAGCAGCCGCGGUAAUUC
rnacentral:rRNA from 1 species